CAAUAGAAUUGACGGGGCCCGCACAAGCAGUGGAGUAUGUGGUUUUAAUUCGAAGCAACGCGAAGAACCUUACCAGGGCUUGACAUCCCUUGAAGCAGCUAGAGAUAGCUGUGUCCUUCGGGACAAGGAGACAGGUGGUGCAUGGUUGUCGUCAGCUCGUGUCGUGAGAUGUUGGGUUAAGUCCCGCAACGAGCGCAACCCCUACGUUUAGUUGCUAACGCGUGAAGGCGAGCACUCUAGACGAACUGCCGUUGACAAAACGGAGGAAGGUGGGGAUGACGUCAAAUCAUCAUGCCCCUUAUGUUCUGGGCUACACACGUGCUACAAUGGCCGGUACAGACGGACGCAAAGCCGCGAGGUGGAGCAAACCCAAAAAGCAGUCUCAGUUCGGAUUGAAGUCUGCAACUCGACUUCAUGAAGUCGGAAUCGCUAGUAAUCGCGGAUCAGAACGCCGCGGUGAAUACGUUCUCGGGGUUU
rnacentral:rRNA from 1 species